AGCUCCAAUAGCGUAUAUUAAAGUUGUUGCAGUUAAAAAGCUCGUAGUUGGAUUUGUGGUCCUGGUUGUUUGGUCCCACGCUUUAGUGUGGGUACCUGAAUGACUGGUCCAUCCUUGGGUGGAAUCUGUGUGGCAUUAGGUUGUCGUGCAGGGGAUGCCCAUCGUUUACUGUGAAAAAAUUAGAGUGUUCAAAGCAGGCUUAUGCCGUUGAAUAUAUUAGCAUGGAAUAAUGAGAUAGGACCUUGGUACUAUUUUGUUGGUUUGCGCACUGAGGUAAUGGUUAAUAGGGACAGUUGGGGGUAUUCGUAUUCCAUUGUCAGAGGUGAAAUUCUUGGAUUUUUGGAAGACGAACGACUGCGAAAGCAUUUACCAAGGAUGUUUUCAUUAAUCAAGAACGAAA
rnacentral:rRNA from 1 species